UGGGGAGCGUGCGCUUUGAUAAGCGCUGCUUCCAAACCUUACACACUUGUGGAUAAUUUCUACUUUGCUUUGGGUGGGGUGAAAACCCCGCCCAGAGGUUCUAAACACAGAUUUUUAAUCUUAUUCAAACCCAGUCAAGAAGUAUUUAUAUACAAAUCUUCAAAACUUUCAACAACGGAUCUCUUGGUUCUCGCAACGAUGAAGAACGCAGCGAAAUGCGAUACGUAAUGUGAAUUGCAGGUUUUCGUGAAUCAUCGAAUCUUUGAACGCAUAUUGCGCCCUCUGGUAUUCCGGAGGGCAUGCCUGUUUGAGCGUCAUUUCUCUCUCAAAACUUCAGUUUUGGUAUUGAGUGAUACUCUCCGGAGUUAACUUGAAAUAUUGUGGCAAGGGCUGUUUAGACAGGUCUCCUCUAAAACGUUUCUAGGUUCUACCAAAUUCGUUCCAUGAGGUUACCCCCUAAACUUCCAAACCCGGCCUAACAACAACCCCCCCAAGUUUGACCUCAAAUCAGGUAGGAU
rnacentral:sRNA from 1 species